GAUGAACGCUAGCGGCAGGCUUAACACAUGCAAGUCGAGGGGUAGAGGAAGCUUGCUUCCUUGAGACCGGCGCACGGUGCGUAACGCGUAUGCAAUCUACCUUAUACAGGGGAUAGCCCAGAGAAAUUUGGAUUAAUACCCCAUAGUAUAAUUGAAUGGCAUCAUUUGAUUAUUAAAAGUUCCAACGGUAUAAGAUGAGCAUGCGUCCCAUUAGCUAGUUGGUGUGGUAACGGCACACCAAGGCGACGAUGGGUAGGGGUCCUGAGAGGGAGAUCCCCCACACUGGUACUGAGACACGGACCAGACUCCUACGGGAGGCAGCAGUGAGGAAUAUUGGUCAAUGGGCGCAAGCCUGAACCAGCCAUGCCGCGUGCAGGAUGACGGUCCUAUGGAUUGUAAACUGCUUUUGUACAGGAAGAAACACUACCCUCGUGAGGGAGCUUGACGGUACUGUAAGAAUAAGGAUCGGCUAACUCCGUGCCAGCAGCCGCGGUAAU
rnacentral:rRNA from 1 species